GACGUAGGGCGCGAGCGUUGUCCGGAUUUAUUGGGCGUAAAGAGCUCGUAGGCGGCUUGUCGCGUCGAAUGUGAAAACUCGGGGCUCAACUCCGAGCUUGCAUUCGAUACGGGCAGGCUAGAGUUCGGUAGGGGAGACUGGAAUUCCUGGUGUAGCGGUGAAAUGCGCAGAUAUCAGGAGGAACACCGAUGGCGAAGGCAGGUCUCUGGGCCGAUACUGACGCUGAGGAGCGAAAGCGUGGGGAGCGAACAGGAUUAGAACCUCCGUAGGUACCGU
rnacentral:rRNA from 1 species